rnacentral:rRNA from 1 species
GAGAAGCUUGCUUCUCUGAUGUUAGCGGCGGACGGGUGAGUAACACGUGGAUAACCUACCUAUAAGACUGGGAUAACUUCGGGAAACCGGAGCUAAUACCGGAUAAUAUUUUGAACCGCAUGGUUCAAAAGUGAAAGACGGUCUUGCUGUCACUUAUAGAUGGAUCCGCGCUGCAUUAGCUAGUUGGUAAGGUAACGGCUUACCAAGGCAACGAUGCAUAGCCGACCUGAGAGGGUGAUCGGCCACACUGGAACUGAGACACGGUCCAGACUCCUACGGGAGGCAGCAGUAGGGAAUCUUCCGCAAUGGGCGAAAGCCUGACGGAGCAACGCCGCGUGAGUGAUGAAGGUCUUCGGAUCGUAAAACUCUGUUAUUAGGGAAGAACAUAUGUGUAAGUAACUGUGCACAUCUUGACGGUACCUAAUCAGAAAGCCACGGCUAACUACGUGCCAGCAGCCGCGGUAAUACGUAGGUGGCAAGCGUUAUCCGGAAUUAUUGGGCGUAAAGCGCGCGUAGGCGGUUUUUUAAGUCUGAUGUGAAAGCCCACGGCUCAACCGUGGAGGGUCAUUGGAAACUGGAAAACUUGAGUGCAGAAGAGGAAAGUGGAAUUCCAUGUGUAGCGGUGAAAUGCGCAGAGAUAUGGAGGAACACCAGUGGCGAAGGCGACUUUCUGGUCUGUAACUGACGCUGAUGUGCGAAAGCGUGGGGAUCAAACAGGAUUAGAUACCCUGGUAGUCCACGCCGUAAACGAUGAGUGCUAAGUGUUAGGGGGUUUCCGCCCCUUAGUGCUGCAGCUAACGCAUUAAGCACUCCGCCUGGGGAGUACGACCGCAAGGUUG